GACGAACGCUGGCGGCGUGCCUAAUACAUGCAAGUAGAACGCUGAAGGAGGAGCUUGCUUCUCUGGAUGAGUUGCGAACGGGUGAGUAACGCGUAGGUAACCUGCCUGGUAGCGGGGGAUAACUAUUGGAAACGAUAGCUAAUACCGCAUAAGAGUAGAUGUUGCAUGACAUUUGCUUAAAAGGUGCAAUUGCAUCACUACCAGAUGGACCUGCGUUGUAUUAGCUAGUUGGUGGGGUAACGGCUCACCAAGGCGACGAUACAUAGCCGACCUGAGAGGGGGAUCGGCCACACUGGGACUGAGACACGGCCCAGACUCCUUCGGGAGGCAGCCGUAGGGAAUCUUCGGCAAUGGACGGAAGUCUGACCGAGCAACGCCGCGUGAGUGAAGAAGGUUUUCGGAUCGUAAAGCUCUGUUGUAAGAGAAGAACGAGUGUGAGAGUGGAAAGUUCACACUGUGACGGUAUCUUACCAGAAAGGGACGGCUAACUACGUG
rnacentral:rRNA from 1 species